GGGAAAAGCUAACAUCAAUGGAGACAUUUGAUUGUAUUAUCAAAUGACAGUUUGAUGAAAAGAAGGGGAAGAAGAAAAAGGAGGAGAGGUUAUCCAAAGACUAGCCCCCCGCCCAAAAAAAAUGCUGUGAAUUAUGUGAAGUGGAGGAGGACAGAUAAACCCCCCUAUCGUGCCUCAAGCAACUCAGGAAGAUAUGAGCAUAAAGAAUGGUUUCAUUUAUAUCAUACUUCUGAACAGCUGUGACCUUCAUGGAAAAUCUAGCUGCCCAUCCUGAAAAUUAAAAAUUGCUAUCUGGUAA